CUUUUAGAAGAACAUUUCCACUGAAAGAAAUCGCGUCGGUUUCUUUCCAGCAGUGUAAACCGCAGGCGAUAUCAUGGGUUGAGCCCUACGAUUGUAUGGCAGAAAAGCGCCUAUCGUUAUUCUUCAGUUUCAUUAACACGGAGUUUCGACAGGCAGCUCUGCCAACCGCAACCAAUAUUGCUAUUCGGCAAUCAUAUUUCUCGCGAGUCGCGACAUUUUGCGGAACCUGUGGCCUGUGUCUCUCGGUCAGGCGAGGGACAUGUGGACGGGAUACUAUUCCAGUGCCCGACCCACACAGUGGAAACUGGAAAGUGAUGCUAAACUUAGAUAAACCACACACGGUUUUCUUGUGGCCGUCAAGAUUUGUUGGGAUUCUUAUUUUAAAUUAGCCUGAAGAUAAGCC